CUCCCGAGUAGCUGGGACUACAGGCGCCCGCUACCACGCCCGGCUAAUUUUUUGUAUUUUUAGUAGAGACGGGGUUUCACCGUGUUAGCCAGGAUGGUCUCGAUCUCCUGACCUCGUGAUCCGCCCGCCUCAGCCUCCCAAAGUGCUGGGAUUACAGGCGUGAGCCACCGCGCCCGGCAGGGCCUUGUGGGUGUUCUAAAGGAAUGAUUGAAAUGAAAAGAAAUGAGAGAGUCAAACAGUGUACCGUAAUAGAUGAAAUGGAAAGUAAUUAUGUUAAUGUUGACUCAUUAUGAAGCUCUAACCAUUUUUACCUGCUCAUUUCUGUGUGGAAACCUGUGCAGCUGAGAUGCUGAAUAAGAAAUUCUUGUACAAAUGAGCCUAGAGGCAUGUUUCUAGUAUAGGAGCUAGGUCUAUGCAGAAUUAUAAUGAAUUUCCCUAAGUCAUUAUUUAAAUAUGCUAUCAGAGUAGGUGAUUCUCCUGCCAGAAAAUUUGGCUUCUAAUGUUUAUCAUCAAAUUUUUAGAUGUAUAUUUGAAUCUUCAUUGCUGCAUGUAAUUCUCAUUUGUUAAUUAGAGAGAAAAAACCCUAUAUUCCACAAUACAUCUAUAUCAUAUAUAGUGUCAGAUUUUACAGGAUAACCUGUAAGGAAGGGAUUUAUGAGAAAAAAAUGUUAGCAGGGCCAAACAAUGUAAAUAAAAACAUGUAAGUGCUUAAGAACGUGAGAUUUGGAGUCAGAUGGGCUAGAUUGAAACCAAAUCUGUCUGACUCCAAAACUGAAGCUUUUAUUCAUGGUCAGAAAAUUUUGAAAGUGUCACUCCCCUAAAUGCCUAUACCAUUCCCCCCAUUGCGCUUAAAUGUUUCUUUUUGCCAGUAUUCUGUUUCUAAAGCAUGCAUUUUUCAGUCAUAAUGUAUAAUAAAGCUUAAUGGUCUUGCCUCCUAUGACUAAAAUGUCCUGCCAGUAUUCUGGAAAUAAAAUAUUAUAGAG
rnacentral:lncRNA from 1 species